GCGCCAAUGGUCUAGUGGCUAGGAUUCAACCCUUCCAAGGUUGAGGGGGGGGGGUUCGAUUCCCUCUUGACGCA